AUAAGACGGCCUCUGCUCCUGUAAACUGGGUCAAUUAGCAAGAUGGCUAAUUCUAGACGCCGCUAAGCUAAUAGCACAGCUAAUUAGCCAGCGUGCUUGUGUUGGCAGUGGAUACCCGGCUAAUUAGGUCCCCGGCGCCGCCGAUCCCCCCCCUCCACGGCAACACUGACCGACUGUCCUCGGAAAGCGCCGUCCGUCCAACCGGGGAGGAUCCAGAGAUUAGCGGCGGAGGGAGGCACGCAUGCUGCACGGCGCUACAUCGGCGACGACGCUGCAGGAGAAGAAGGGCUGGGCGAGCUACGUCAUUCGUGUGCACGGGGAAAGAAGUAGCCCACCAGCGGAAGGGGAUAUUUGAUCACAAC